UGCCAGCAUCCGCGGUAAUACUGAGGGUGCAAGCGUUGUUCGGAAUCACUGGGCGUAAAGCGCACGUAGGCGGAUUUGUAAGUUAGGGGUGAAAUCCCGGGGCUCAACCUCGGAACUGCCUUUGAUACUGCAAGUCUAGAGUCCGAGAGAGGUGAGUGGAAUUCCUAGUGUAGAGGUGAAAUUCGUAGAUAUUAGGAAGAACACCAGUGGCGAAGGCGGCUCACUGGCUCGGUACUGACGCUGAGGUGCGAAGGCGUGGGUAGCGAACGGGAUUAGAUA
rnacentral:rRNA from 1 species